AACGAACGCUGGCGGCAUGCCUAACACAUGCAAGUCGAACGAUUAUGGAACUAGCUUGCUAGAACCCAGAUAGUGGCAGACGGGUGAGUAACGCGUGGGAAUCUUCCUAGUAGUACGGAAUAGCCGUUGGAAACGACGGAUAAUACCGUAUAUUCCCUGAGGGGGAAAGAUUUAUCGCUACUAGAUGAGCCCGCGUUAGAUUAGCUAGUUGGUAGGGUAAUGGCCCACCAAGCCAACGAUCUGUAGCUGGUCUGAGAGGACGACCAGCCACACUGGAACUGAGACACGGUCCAGACUCCUACGGGAGGCAGCAGUGGGGAAUUUUGGACAAUGGGCGAAAGCCUGAUCCAGCCAUUCCGCGUGCAGGAUGAAGGCCCUCGGGUUGUAAACUGCUUUUGUACAGAACGAAAAGGUUUCUACUAAUACUAGGAGCUCAUGACGGUACUGUAAGAAUAAGCACCGGCUAACUACGUGCCAGCAGCCGCGGUAA
rnacentral:rRNA from 1 species